rnacentral:lncRNA from 1 species
CACCAACCCUUUGGUGACGCCACUUUAUAGUGAAGUGUCUUUCCAUCAACCCUUUGACGAUGACGUAUUCUUUUCCAAUCAGCCCUUUGAUGAUGCCACUCCAUAGUGAAGUUUCUUUCCAUCAACCCUUUGACGAUGACAAUUUCUUUUCCAUCAGCCCUCUGAUGAUGACAUUUACCUUCCCAUCAUCCCUCUGAUGAUGAUCCUUUCCAUCAACCCUUUGAUGAUGACAUUCACUAUCUUCCAUCAACCCUGUGAUG